rnacentral:rRNA from 1 species
CCUACGGGAGGCAGCAGUGGGGAAUAUUGCACAAUGGGGGAAACCCUGAUGCAGCGACGCCGCGUGAGUGAAGACGUAUUUCGGUAUGUAAAGCUCUAUCAGCAGGGAAGAAGCAAGACGGUACCUGACUAAGAAGCCCCGGCUAACUACGUGCCAGAAGCCGCGGUAAUACGGAGGGGGCAAGCGUUAACCGGAUUUACUGGGUGUAAAGGGAGCGUAGACGGUAUGGCAAGUCUGAAGUGAAAGCCUAGGGCUUAACCCUGGGACUGCUUUGGAAACUGGUAGACUCGAGUGCUGGGGAGGUAAGUGGAAUUCGUGGUGUAGCGGUGAAAUGCGUAGAUAUUAGGAAGAACACCAGUGGCGAAGGCGGCUUACUGGACAGUAACUGACGUUGAGGCUCGAAAGCGUGGGUAGCAAACAGGAUUAGAUACCCUGGUAGUC